CUGGCAGGCUUCAUCUAUGCCUGUUAUGUUGUGAAGUGUAUUACUGAAGAAGAGGACAGCUUUGACUUCAUAGGUGGAUUUGACUCUUACGGCUAUCAAGGUCCACAGAAGACAUCUCAUUUACAACUACAGCCCAUGUAUAUGUCAAAGUAAACAUGGGGAGUACCCAAGGUGGGCUGGAAGACCACUGUCAAAGAAACUGUUUCAGAAUGGCCUCCUGAUUCUUCAAAGAGAAAAAAAUCCAAUUUUUCUGCUAAAAGAAAAAUAUAAAAGCUGGUUGAACAGUGAGACAGAAAACAAGAGACUUUCAGCCCCUCUUUCUAACAGGUACUAAAGGAGAUGUCCCAGCCCCCCACCUUGGACCUCCUGCCUCCCAGCACCAGAGGACAGAGCAGAGGCAUUGGUGCCAUCUUUUAUCUCUUCCCUACCCCGGCCACCGCCAGCG
ensembl:lncRNA